AUAUACUUCCUUGUGCAGGAAUGGAAGCAGGGAGUUGCAGAAAAACAGCAUAUCUGAACAGCUAUCUGGACAACGUUCAAGAUUUCGUAUUAGUGCCUGGUCCUGCAGCUCGCCUUCGACCUAAUAAUGUUCCAGAUGAGUAUUUCUCUUGUGACUAAUUCUUACAUAUGAUUCUUCCAGUUAAUUAUGAAGGCAUUGUCAGAAACCUCACAUGCAUAGAACCAAAUCAGCCUUUCAAAGCUUAUAUGAAACAGUUUCUACCCAAGCGUUUCCAUUAUGCCAAUAAUGACCGGAUUGAACCACUGCACUUUUAUUUAAAUUCUCAAUGGCAACUAGCUAGGAAACCACUUGAGAUUAAAAGUUGCACAGGUGGAUUCCAUGGCUCAGAUAAUCGCUUCCCAAGUAUGCAGGUAAGGUUUGAAAACUUACAUUGGCUUUUGUUUUUAGCAUCAUUUGAUUAAGGACGUUGUGUUGCUGAAGCUUGAGAUUUAUUUAUUUAUUGUUGAGAUCUGGCACUAUUCAAUCCAUGCCCCAGUGGUUUGACUUCUGCUGAUGAGAAUAUAAAGAUGUGCCCAUUUUUUUUGUUGUAACAUUAAAAACAGGAAAAGAGAACUUAUCUUUUCAAAUCUUCAAAUAUAGGAAUCAUAAAAUACAAGAGAAUUCAAAUUGGAAGGGAUCUCAGGAGGUCUCAUAGUCCUAUCUGCAGCUCAAAGCAGAGUCAGCUGUGAGAUCAGACAAAAUUACUCAGGAUUUCAUGCAGUUGAAUCUUGAAAACUCUUGAGUACAGAGACUGCACAACCUCUGUAGGCAGCUCUUUCCACUGCCUUACUGCUCUUUUGUCUUUAUGGUAUAAAUGGGUUUACCAAUAGCUGGAUUGGAACUUUCUUGUUUCAAGUUAUGCCUAUUGUCCCUCUGCCUCCCACCACGUAGCACUGAGGAGCAUGACCCUUAACAGCAUCCCUUAGCUGGUCAAGUCUGGUCUCUACUCACUUACAGAUUUUGGUCGCAAGCACUAUAGAGUGACAGCCUGUCUAAUGCUUACAUCUCAGAAAAAGAACAGAAAAAGAAAAAAGCCUCUUUUUUCCACAUAGCCAUGAAAUCUGAGACAAUUGAAUUGUUUGCAAAGAGCACUGAGAUGUGUUGAAUGCAAAGCAUGCAUCAUUGUGCAGCACAGAUGGAUGCAAGCUUUACUUAA